UACAGAGGUCUCAAGCGUUGUUCGGAUUCAUUGGGCGUAAAGGGUGUGUAGGUGGCGCGCUAAGUCGGGUGUGAAAUUUCGGAGCUUAACUCCGAAACUGCAUUCGAUACUGGCGUGCUUGAGGACUGGAGAGGAGACUGGAAUUCAUAGUGUAGCAGUGAAAUGCGUAGAGAUCAUGAGGAAGACCAGUGGCGAAGGCGGGUCUCUGGACAGUUCCUGACACUGAGACACGAAGGCCAGGGGAGCAAACGGG
rnacentral:rRNA from 1 species